UACAGAGGUCUCAAGCGUUGUUCGGAUUCAUUGGGCGUAAAGGGUGCGUAGGCGGCGCGGUAAGUCGGAUGUGAAAUCUCGGAGCUUAACUUCGAAACUGCAUUCGAUACUGCCGUGCUUGAGGACUGGAGAGGAGAAUGGAAUUCCUGGUGUAGCAGUGAAAUGCGUAGAGAUCAUGAGGAAGACCAGUGGCGAAGGCGGGUCUCUGGACAGUUCCUGACACUGAGACACGAAGGCCAGGGGAGCAAACGGG
rnacentral:rRNA from 1 species